UACGGAGGAUCCGAGCGUUAUCCGGAUUUAUUGGGUUUAAAGGGUGCGCAGGCGGGGGAUUAAGUCGGCGGUGAAAUCUUGCAGCUCAACUGUAAAAGUGCCUUCGAAACUGGUUUCCUUGAGUGUAGAUGAAGUAGGCGGAAUUUGUGGCGUAGCGGUGAAAUGCAUAGAUAUCACGAGGAACUCCGAUUGCGCAGGCAGCUUACUAAACUACUACUGACGCUCAGGCACGAAGGCGUGGGGAUCAAACAGGAUUAGAUACCCGGGUAGU
rnacentral:rRNA from 1 species